AAUUAUAUAUAUAUAUGUAUAUAAAUAACGCUACGACACAGAUGUUGUAAUUUUUUUCUAAAGUAAUGUUAAAGUUUGGUAACCAUUAUAAAUACGGAAAGAGAAGGUACUCGUAUACAUAUAUGGAUUGUCUCGUUAAAACAGUUUUUAUAAUAGAUUUACGAGGAAUCGCGGCCUCCGAAUCUGAGGUAGACUAUCUAUAUUUUAU